rnacentral:rRNA from 1 species
AGGAUAAACGCUGGCGGCGUGCCUAACACAUGCAAGUCGAACGCCCUACGCAAGUAGGGAGUGGCGGACGGGUGAGGAACACGUGGGUUAUCUGCCUUUCGGUGAGGAAUACCAGCGAGAAAUCGCUGACAAUACCGCAUACGGUUCUUUCGAGAGAGAGAACGAAAGUCGCAAGACGCCGGGAGAUGAGCCUGCGCCCGAUUAGUUAGUUGGUGGGGUAAAAGCCUACCAAGACUGCAAUCGGUAGCUGGUCUGAGAGGACGAUCAGCCACACUGGGAUUGAGAACGGCCCAGACUCCUACGGGGGCAGCAGUGAGGAAUUUUCGUCAAUGGGGGAAACCCUGAACGAGCAACGCCGCGUGCAGGAAGAAGGUCUUCGGAUCGUAAACUGCUUUUCUGUGGGAAGAGAACGGACGGUACCACAGGAAGAAGCCCCGGCUAACUACGCGCCAGCAGCCGC